rnacentral:rRNA from 1 species
GCCGGCCUGAGAGGGUGAUCGGCCACACUGGGACUGAGACACUGCCCAGACUCCUAUGGGAGGCUGCAGUCGAGGAUCAUUCGCUAUGCGCGAAAGCGUGACGAUGCGACGCUGCGUGGAGGAUGACGGCCUUAGGGUUGUAAACUCCUGUCAUGAGGGAAAAGUAACCUGACAAUUAAUACUUGUCGGGAUCGAUGGUACCUCAAGAGGAAGCCACGGCUAACUCUGUGCCAGCAGCCGCGGUAAUACAGAGGUGGCGAGCGUUGUUCGGAUUUACUGGGCGUAAAGGGUGCGUAGGUGGUCAUGUAUGUCGGGUGUGAAAGCCCACGGCUCAACCGUGGAAUUGCAUUCGAAACUGCAUGACUAGAGUACAGGAGGGGAGAGCGGAAUUCUUGGUGUAGCGGUGAAAUGCGUUGAUAUCAAGAAGAACACCGGUGGCGAAGGCGGCUCUCUGGAAUGUUACUGACACUGAUGCACGAAAGCUGGGGGAGCGAACAGGAUUAGAUACCCUGGUAGUCCCAGCCGUAAACGGUGCACACUUGGUGUGGGGGGAUUUGACCCCCUCCGUGCCGGAGCUAACGCGUUAAGUGUGCCGCCUGGGGAGUACGGUCGCAAGGCUAAAACUCAAAGAAAUUGACGGGGGCCCGCACAAGCGGAGGAGCAUGUGGCUUAAUUCGAUGCAACGCGAAGAACCUUACCAGGGCUUGACAUAUACCUGCACGCCCCGUGAAAGCGGGGAAGCCUUCGAGGGUGGUAUACAGGUGCUGCAUGGCUGUCGUCAGUUCGUGCUGUGAGGUGUUGGGUUAAGUCCCGCAACGAACGCAACCCCUGUGGUUAGUUGCCACCGCCGGUGAUGAGCCGGCGAGCACUCUAGCCAGACUGCCCGUACAAGCGGGAGGAAGGUGGGGACGACGUCAAGUCAGUAUGGCCCUUACGCCCUGGGCUGCACACGUGCUACAAUGGCCGGUACAGAGGGACGCAAUACCGCGAGGUGGAGCAAAUCCCCAAAGCUGGCCCCAGUUCGGAUUGGAGUCUGAAACUCGACUCCAUGAAGUUCGAUUCGCUAGUAACGGCGUAUCAGCUACGACGCCGUGAAUACGUUCCCGGGCCUUGUACACACCGCCCGUCACAUCAUGAAAGCCGUCUGCACCCGAAGUCACUGAGCCAACUUUUACGAGAGGCAGGUGCCGAAGGUGUGGGUGGUGAUUGGGAUGAAGUCGUAACAAGGUA